rnacentral:rRNA from 1 species
AGCAGCCGCGGUAAUUCCAGCUCCAAUAGCGUAUAUUAAAGUUGUUGCAGUUAAAAAGCUCGUAGUUGAAUUUCGAGAUCAAUUUGUCGGUCGUGCCUCGGUACGUACUGGCAUUAUUGAUUUCUCCCUUCUGAAGAACCGCGAUGUCAUUAAUUUGGUGUCGUGGGGAAUCAGGACUGUUACUUUGAAAAAUUAGAGUGUUUAAAGCAGGCGCACGCUUGAAUACAUUAGCAUGGAAUAAUGAAAUAGGACGUUUGAUUCUAUUUUGUUGGUUUCUAGGAUCGACGUAAUGAUUAAUAGGGAUAGUUGGGGCAUUAGUAUUCAAUUGUCAGAGGUGAAAUUCUUGGAUUUAUUGAAGACUAACUACUGCGAAAGCAUUUGCCAAGGAUGUUUUCAUUAAUCAAGAACGAAAGUUAGGGGAUCGAAGACGAUCAGAUACCGUCGUAGUCUUAACCAUAAAACUAUG